AGAGCGAGACUCCGUCUCAAAAAAAAAAGAAGAAAGAAAUAAUCAAAGAAAACAGGAGGAAGGGGAAAAUAGAGAUAAGGCAACAUAUCAAUAUGUAUCAAUGCAGUAGAAAACGAAGCAACAUAAUAAAGAAUCAAUAAAGCCAGAAGAAGUUGGUUCUUUGAAAAAAGAAGUAAUAAACCCUUUGGAGAAGACACAUAAAUAUUAUGAAUUAGAAACAUAAUUACAGAUACAGUUUAGGACAAAAAAAUUGAUAUAAUAUGAAAAAUUUUAUGGGAAUACGUUUUAAAACAGACAAAUGCUUAGAAAAAGAGCCAAAUAUAAUUUACUCAAACUGAUUCCAGUAGAAACUGAAAGCCUGCAAAAUUCUUUAACUAUUGAGGCAAUAAAAAAUCCUCUCACAACAAAAUUACAAAUCCAGAUAAUUUAUAGGUAAUUUUACCAAGUUUCCAAGGAAUAGAUUGCUCCAAUAUUUACACAAACACUUUCAGAGAAUAGAAAACAACAAGGGAAAUAUAUUAUCAGCAAACUGAAUUAAACAGAAUAUAUAAAAGAUAACAUGCUGUGACCCACUUGGGUUUAUCCUAAAAAUGGCAGGAUAGUUUAAAAUUUGAAGAGUCUCAAGAAUCACCGGUUCAUAGACAUUUAUUAAAAGAUAUGUGGCAUUAUUAAAACAUUUGGUUCUAUGCAUAACCAAAAGUUAUGCCCAGGUUGACAGCAUAAGAGAUUCUGAUAUCCCAUGUUCACCGACCCAGCUGUCUAUCACUCCUUGUAAUGUCACCUGAGGCUAUGUAUGUUGAACCUCCUGUGGCAUGGCUACUGCUCCUAGUAGGAAGCAUUUUGAUCCCUCCUAAGAGCCCUGAUAGGAAACACAAAUGAAUUUAAUUUGAAUGCAACAUCAAAUUAAUUAGUAAUAGCUUUCAGAAAUGCUGUAUUAGAUGGGAAUCUAGAAUAGAGCCUUGGCACAGGGAGAAACAAUGUUGUAUCAGCCAACAAUGUUUGCUAUAGGUUUAAGAGGAGUAGAGAAAAAUACAUGCAUGCCAGGCAUUUUUCAUUCUUGGAAAAGAUUUUUCAAUUCAAAGCCUAUUACAAAAUGAGCCACAGUGUCUAGCUGCCCUACAAUAGAACUCUCAGUGCAGCACCAUGGCUUACCACUGGAAUGUGUAGAGGUAGUGUUACCUAUGUAACAGGGAAAGAAAGUGUGCAUUAGUAGGCACUAGGAAAUCCUACAGAAUAGCCAAACUCCCUACUUUUAACUUUCUACCAUCAUUAGAUGUUUAAGUUGUACUCAACUCUAUUUCCAUGGUUUUAUACAUUGAACAGAUCCAGUCCUUUACAUUCAGACAAAUCAAUUAUUUGUAUAGUACAGGGUUUAUCCAUUUCACCAAGCAUGAAGAAUCAUCUAGAUGCUUAUUAAAAAUAUAGUCUCCUCAGCACCACCCAAGACCGUGGUCGCAAGGGUUCAAGGAAUCUGGGUGUCGUUUUUAUUUCUCCCAUAGUGAUUCCCAUUCACUUUUACAAAUCGCUAGUGGAGUGGUUAUUGCACACCUGAGAGGCAAGCUGCAUAAAUUAAUGAUCAGUAUGAUGGCUCAAUAACAAAGGAAUAACAUCACCUGACUUUUCUAAAUCUCAUUGGUCAUUGAUCACGUCGCAUUCUCAGUGACAUAUCAAGAAGGGAAGGGGUGUGUGUAGGAGCCACUGCUCCAGCAGGGAGGAGUAUUUCAGUAUUUUGUCACUGACAUUCUUUGUAACUGCCAACUUUUGCUUUGUUUCAUUGUUUUUAAAAUCUUUAUAGCCAGUGGACCCCUUACUGCUUACAAUCAUGCACACGUUGCCACUGACUCCUUUCUUUGGUAACCACAGUACAUUCUAGUUAACUACCACACAUUUACAAUAUCUCAUUAUUUUGUGUCUUUACUUACUUUUUGUCUUUCUCCCCGUAUAGGCUCUAAGCUCCAUGACACACUUUGUCGAUUUUUUCUCUAUGCCAGAUGCUAGUAAUUAUAGACUUACAUGGCUAAAGCACUUACCCAUUUUGUGCCAAUUGCAGGGAUUGAGGUUACCAGAUGUACUGUGGUAGACUAAUGUUGACUUAGGUCUGGAAAAUGAAAUAAAAAUUAGAUAAGUACAACAAAAUGGAAAGCUAAUGAAAGAAAAAAUAAGGAAAAAUAAUAUUUAGACAGAUUGGUUUCAGUAACUCAUCUGAUUCAGGCAACCUAUGAAAGGCUUCCAUCGUUCAUUCUUUCUCUGGGUUAACAAGCAAAAUGGAAGAAGACUAGGAAAAGCAUGUGUGUGUGUGUGUGUGUGUGUGUGUGUGUGUGUGUGUGAAAGAGAUGUUAAAUAGGAGUGACAUAGUAUGGAGCACAUAUGUGUGAAUUCACAUAAGAAAAAUUUAAUUCUGUUUACCAUUCACUAACACACCCAAAUAUAUGAAUAACCUAUUUUUUUUUUCCUUCGUACCAGGAAGCUUCCCCACACACCGUGACUGAACUUUUGGCAUUUACCAGAGUUCAAUUAAAAAAUAUAUUCUCUCAUUUCAUCAAUUUCUAUCUCCUUUGCCCUAAAAGAGAAAGCUGAAUUUUAGACUACUGAAUAGAAAGAAAAGCCUUUUGGUUAUCAAGAAUUUUAUAGUUAAGUGAUUUAAAGGUUUUAUUACUUUAUGGGUAGCCAAGUUCUAAACUGUAUUUAUAAAACAACGAAAUGCAUAUAUGAUGGCAUAUUAGGAACUCCAUAAAAUAUUGAAAUACACACUUUCACACAUUUGGGGUCUUGUACAAUGAAAUGUCUAUAUUUGGAAAAUGGGCCUAAUAUAUUCACUCUGCCCCUCUUGAAACCUUUGAAAGCCCACUUGAGCAUCCACACCUGUGAACUGCAGUAUACCAUCCUACAGCUAGCAUGAGAUUGACGACUGUAUCAACUGGAAUUAAGUCUGCCACUGCCUUUGGAGUAGCUUUUAAGGCCCGAAGAAACCCUUUCCCAGCCUGCAUAGGAAAAAGAACAUAAAAUGUUAAUCCAGGUCUUAAAUAAUAGCUGGGGCUAAAGUAUGUAUCAUCAAACUGAUUAUACUAGUGCAGUACGUGAAAACAGCUAACAUUGAUCCACUGCUUACCAGGUUCUUAUGCUAAGUCUGACUUCCUCAGUCUAUCCUACCUUCCCAGCCAAGCGCAUCUCCAGCAUUUCCAUGAACUACUAGUGUUCCUCACGUUCCUUCAGGAAAUAAAAUUCCUCGAAUUUGUGAGAGGUUAAUAAACUCAAUUAACAAACACCAAGAAUAAACUUUUACAUCUUAAAAAUUCAUAAAACAUGUUAAGAAUUAAGGUUAUACAAAUUUCCCAUUAACUUUCCCAUUAAUAUUUGUUUACCAUUUCCUUGAUGAUUUUGUUUUCUGCUAGGGUUUAUUAGCUUACAAGCAAUAGUAGGCACUAAAAGUUUAAGAAACAUUUAUUUGAAAAACAUUAAUUGGCGAAAUUCCACCAUUAAUAAAAUAAAACUUUUUUUUUGGCUUGGAAAAAUUGCCUUAUUAUUUACUUUUUAUUCAGCAUCUUAGUUCACCUCACAGAUCACUGAUGUUACAUAGAUGCAAGAAUUAGGAAUUAUUCAUGUCAAUAAUUUGUUGAGUUUAUGAAAUUGAUUCUUUGCGCUUUGCAUGUUUCCAACAUUGAUUUGCAAUGAUUAGCACUUUCUUAUGUUACUCAGUUCUGUUGUCUUAUAACUAGCUCCCCUUCUUUCGAACAUAAGAAACCAAUCUAGAACAUUUUAGAAAAUGUAAAUAAAUAUGCAGCUUUGCAUAUAAUGAAACCCGCUUUGGGAUCAUGUUAAAAUAAUGAUGUUCUAAGUCACUAAAUGUUCACCCCAACUGAACUUUUGUAGAAGAAAGAGUUGAAGGCAGAUGGGAAACAGAAAGAAAAGGGCUGCUUGAAAAAUCAGACAUCGGAAGGAAGAUCUUUGUCACUGUUAUAAUUCACUGUCUCAUAUUCAUAUUGCAAUUCAUGUUGACCCUAGUUCUGGGAGGAACAGAGAUAGAGUCUGAAGCGCAGUCUAAAUCCCUAAUAAGAUUUAAACGCAUUUAGAUCACUGAUUUCCUAUUCAUUGUACAAAACAGUGAAGUGGGGUUUAGACCCUAAAUGCUUCAGUGUGAGCUGUGAAGUCCCACAGCUUGGCUGGAUCAAUCUGGACUUCGGGGAGAUGCGCACUGAGGGCUGCUUACCUAGAGGAGCCACGUUUCUCCUGGUAAGAGAUUAUUGAAAAGGUGUUGCCUAUAUUCAUGGAUUUUUGUAUUUGAAAAAUUUGCUGCAAUUGGUAGUUCUCUUUCUUGUAUUCAUUAAGAAUUAUUGAUGUAUAUCUCUUUUCUAUACACACACAUAAACUCUUACAUGUGUUUUAUAAUCAAGAAUUUAAUAAUCUUUGAAGAUAUUUUUACUGCAUCCUCAAUUCACUGCACUAAUUCAUGUGAUUAUAAACGGCAAAAAGGGGGAAAUACCCCCAUCUUGUGGUAACUAAAGAAAAGUCCUGAUGCUCAAAGACUUCAAAAAUAAAACUCCUAAAUAGUAACUGAUAGCACAUUACCUCUGUUUUUCUGAUAAAAAAUUCUCAAAGAAUAAAAUAAUUUCAUCCUGCCUCUAUAUUACAAUUAGAACAAUUAAAAUAAUGUGCCUCAAUUAUUAGUAAAGUAGCAUUUAUAUUUUUGGAUCAAUGAAGCUAAGUCAGCACUAAGAAUUUUGUUACUCUUCCUCUACUACAUUUCAGGGAGUUAUUUCUUCAUUGUUAUACAUACCGCAAUAAUUAGUCCAUUAGGUCCAUUUAUAUUAUCAACCCAACCCUAAAAGAAAGAAGAUUUCUGUUGGUUACACAUUUCAGAAAAUUGUUUUAUCUUUGGAACAUCUGCAGUCUAAUCUUAAUAAAUUUCAAACAAGAGCACUGAGAUCCCAGCCAAUAGAACUAUCUAAUUCAGUAUUAUUUAGAUCUCAAAAGAUAAAGGCAAAUCACUGGCCAUUUUCUGUACUUUAUUUGACUGUGCAAAAAUUAGAAUUUUGCCAGGAUUGUUUUUCUUAGCAGGAGCCAUGAAUGGUUUUCUGGUGUUUUAUGACCUCUUAUGGACCUUGUCCUUAUAUCAUGAUCUGCUAAGCAAUUCACCAACCAUCCUUCUCCACCUUAGUCCUGAUUUCAGCCUCCUUAGGAGAACAUUGAAAACAUGAUUUGUGUUAAUGGCCCAUUUUUGACAUUUUUUACCAGCUAUAGAGUCCAUGACAGAUAUAUAUACGUGUGUGUGUGUGUGUGUUUCUGUAUGUGUAUUGACUUGCUUAAAGAUGUUACAGAAAGAUUAUGUUUAAGAGCAGCUAGAGGGAAAUGUGUUUUUAAGUUUGUUUCUUAAGACCUAAGCCAUUCAGCUGACCUUAUUAUGUCUCUUUACAUUACAGUAUAAAAGUCAAAUGUGUGUGUAUAAUGGGAGAGGAGAGAGAAGAGAGGAGAAGAUGAAGGGAUUAAUAUUUGUUGAGCCUUUUAGUAGGGACCAGGCUUUUACUUGAGACUGAGCACUCCUCAUACAUUGUCUCAUUAAAUCAACUCUCCAAAGUAGUAUCUGUCCUGUUUUAUGGAAGGGACAACUCAAAAACAUUGCAUUACCAGUAAGUAGUGGAGCUGGAAUUUACCCCAAAGCCUCACAGAUUUGCUUUGAAGAAGAUGAUGUAAUUCAAAGUACUUUCAAAAGGUCAUGGCAGUAUGCUGAGGUUUAAAAAAAUUAGUAUUCCUAAACUGAGAUCCUUCUGUGAGCUUUGAAACUCUUGUUUACCCUGGCAGUUAUAAUACUACCAAUUUGGCCACUAAGGACAUUCUGGUAUGCUUAAACUAUAGUAAGAAAGCCAAGAUAUGAAACCAUCACCCAUGGGAAUUUUGAGACUAGAGUAAUUAGAAGCUAAUUUAAGCUCUCCAUCCAACUCUAGGACAGUCAAGGUAACUGCCAGAGGAGCCACAUGCUGGAAACCAAAGUGGAAUUUUGCCCUAGUUCAUAUUCGAUCGGCUGCACUUAGCUAUAAAUCCUGAGGAGGAGAAGAAGAAAGACAUCAGAAAGUAAUUGGGCUAGAAGAACCUUAGUUUGGAAGCAAAACACAGAAUCCAGGACACGGAUAGAUAACUUCAUCGAUGUGCUUCAGGUUACAAUUUGAAUAGGCAGUAGAGAUAUGUAUAAAGGCUUCCAGCUUUGGCAUCUGACUAGCCAUAAGCAAGAGUUGCCGGGUGGCAGUGACGUUAAGUUGCACAGCAUGUCUAGAGAAGAUUAAGUAGAAGGAAAUACAAUGAGAAACUAUGAAGAAAUUUACAUGCACACAAAUGUAUACAAACCAUGAGAGGGAAAUGGGAAUGUACCUGAGAGUGUCAUCAAAGCGUACAGUGGCUGCACAGUGAAAGAUUAUGUUUGUACAGGAGAGAAGCUCCUGCAUGUCCUCUUUGCUGAUGGCAAAGUCAUUCUGACUGAGAUCUGCAUAAAUAGCUCUGAUCUUCUCAUGCACAUUUGGACAAACUUCUUUGACUUUCUCAAAUAGCUGAAACAUAAAUAUAGAUCAAUAUACAAAAAAUAGCAUCAUCAUUAUCACAUUGUUCUUGUUUACAACAACCUGUUUAAUUUUACUCAAAAACUG